UUUUUUUUUUAUUUUUGCUUCUGUUUAGGAAUAAAUCUUUCAUCUAGCCUCUGGUUAGAUGUCUUUUUAUGUUUUAAUUAGUGUUUGUGCCAAGUUAAACCUAUAGGAUCUUCUUGGAUGAUAGUUAUUUGAUCUUGCUGAAAAUUCCAGAAACUUUCUGUUCACGAAAGUAAUUGUUAAAAAUCACCUUAACGUGAUAAAAUAUUGAAUCCAAUUGCUUCUGAUCAAUAAACAAAUUUUCUAGAUCUUCCUAUUUUGGCUGAAUUUUUGGAGUUCCAGAAGUUUGCGUUAGUUACAGAUUACUACAGACUGUUCUGUUUUUGACAGAUUCUGUUUUUGUUGUGUUGUCUGCUUAUUUUGAUGAACCUAUGGCUAGUAAAAUAGUUUAUAAACCAUAGAGAAGUUAGAAUACACUAGGUUUAACACCAAUAUAAAUAGAUAAUGAGUUCAUUACAGUACCUUGAAGUGGUCUUUUGUUUUCUUUCGCUAACGGAGCUCACGAGAUUUUCUGGUAAGUUUUGUGUUGUGAAGUUUUCAAGUUUUGGGUUAAAGAUUUGAUGGAUUAUGGAACAAGGAGUGGCAAGAGCCUAAGCUUGGGGAUGCCCAUGGCACCCCAAGAUAAUCUAAGGACACCUAAAAGCCAAAGCUUGGGGAUGCCCCGGAAGGCAUCCCCUCUUUUGUCUACUUCCAUCGGUAACUUUACUUGGAGCUAUAUUUUUAUUCACCACAUGAUAUGUGUUUUGCUUGGAGCGUCUUGUAUGAUUUGAGUCUUUGCUUUUUAGUUUAUCACAAUCAUCCUUGCUGUACACACCUUUUGAGAGAGACACACAUGAUUCGGAAACUAUUAGAAUAUUCUAUGUGCUUCACUUAUAUCUUUUGAGUUAUAUAGUUUUUGCUCUAGUACUUCACUUAUAUCUUUUAGAGCACGGUGGUGGUUUUGUUUUAUAGAAACUAUUAUUCUCUCAUGCUUCACUUAUGUUAUUUUGAGAGUCUUAAAUAGCAUGGUAAUUUACUUAAAUAAUCCUAAUAUGCUAGGUAUUCAAUACUAGUAAAAACUUUCUUAUGAGUGUGUUGAAUACUAAGAGAAGUUUGAUGCUUGAUGAUUGUUUUGAGACAUGGAGUUAGUGAUAUCAAAGUUGUGCUAGUUGAGUAGUUGUGAAUUUGAGAAAUACUUGUGUUGAAGUUUGCAAGUCCCAUAGCAUGCACGUAUGGUAAACAUUAUGUAACUAAUUUGAAACAUGAGGUGUUCUUUGAUUGUCCUCCGUAUGAGUGGCGGUCGGGGACGAGCGAUGGUCUUUUCCUACCAAUCUAUCCCCGUAGGAGCAUGCUCGUAGUGCUUGGUUUUUGAUGACUUGUAGAUUUUUGCAAUAAGUAUGUGAGUUCUUUAUGACUAAUGUUGAGCCCAUGGAUUAUACGCACUCUCACCUUUCCAUCAUUGCUAGCCUCUUCGGUACCGUGCAUUGCCCUUUCUCACAUUGAGAGAUGGUGCAGACUUCGCCGGUGCAUCCAAAGCCCGUGAUAUGAUACGCUCUUUCACACAUAAACCUCCUUAUAUCUUCCUCAAAACAGCCACCAUACCUACCUAUUAUGGCAUUUCCAUAGCCAUUCCGAGAUAUAUUGCCGUGCAACUUUCCACCGUUCCGUUUAUCAUGACAUGUUCAUCAUUGUCAUAUUGCAUUGCAUGAUCAUGUAGUUGACAUAGUAUUUGUGGCAAAGCCACCAUUCAUAAUUCUUUCAUACAUGUCACUCUUGGUUCAUUGCAUAUCCCGGUACACCGCCGGAGGCAUUCAUAUAGAGUCAUACUUUGUUCUAAGUAUCGAGUUGUAAUCAUUGAGUUGUAAAUAAAUAGAAGUGUGAUGAUCAUCAUUUUCUAGAGCAUUGUCCCAAGUGAGGAAAAAAAGAGAAAGACCCAAAAAAAUGAGAGAAAAAGAGAGAAGGGACAAUGUUACUAUCCUUUUACCACACUUGUGCUUCAAAGUAGCGCCAUAAUCUUCAUGAUAGAGAGUCCUUUGUUUUGUCACUUUCAUAUACUACUAGGAACCUUUCAUUAUAGAACUUGGCUUGUAUAUUCCGACAAUGGGCUUCGUCAAAUGCCCUAGGUCUUCGUGAGCAAGCAAGUUGGAUGCACACGCACUUAGUUUCUUUUGUUGAGCUUUCAUAUAUUUAUAGCUCUAGUGCAUCCGUUGCAUGGCAAUCCCUACUCCUUGCAUUAACAUCAAUUGAUGGGCAUCUCCAUAGCUCAUUGAUUAGCCUCGUUGAUGUGAGACUUUCUCCUUUUUUGUCUUCUCCACAUAACCCCCAUCAUUAUAUUCUAUUCCACCCAUAGUGCUAUAUCCAUGGCUCAAGCUCAUGUAUUGCGUGAAGGUUGAAAAAGUUUGAGAUUACUAAAGUAUGAAACAAUUGCUUGGCUUGUCAUCGGGGUUGUGCAUGAUGAGAGCAUUCUUGUGUGACGAAAAUGGAGCACGACUAAACUAUAUGAUUUUGUAGGGAUGAACUUUCUUUGGCCAUGUUAUUUUGACUAAACCCCUUGAACUUGUCGAAAACCUUUUGCAAAAAGUCGAGGUUUGUAGACAGUAACAUUACCGUCAGCGUCAGUCUUCUUCUUGAAGAUCCUUUUAUUCUCUAUGGCUUGCCGAUCAUCGGGCAAGUCAACCAAAGUCCACACUUUGUUCUCAUACAUGGAUCCCAUCUCAAAUUUCAUGGCCUCCAGCCAUUUUGCGGAAUCUGGGCUCACCGUCGCUUCUUCAUAGUUUGUAGGUUCGCCUUGGUCAAGCAACAUGACCUCCAGAACAGGAUUACUGUACCACUCUGGUGCGGAUCUUACUCUGGUUGACCUACGAGGUUCAGUAGUAACUUGAUCUGAAGUUACAUGAUCAUCAUCAUUAGCUUCCUCACUAAUUGGUGUAGGAGUCACAGGAACAGAUUUCUAUGAUGAACUACUUUCCAAUAAGGGAGCAGGUACAGUUACCUCAUCAAGUUCUACUUUCCUCCCACUCACUUCUUUCGAGAGAAACUCCUUCUCUAGAAAGGAUCCAUUCUUAGCAACGAAUGUCUUGCCUUCGGAUCUGUGAUAGAAGGUGUACCCAACAGUUUCCUUUGGGUAUCCUAUGAAGACACAUUUCUCCGAUUUGGGUUCGAGCUUAUCAGGUUGAAGCUUUUUCACAUAAGCAUCGCAGCCCCAAACUUUAAGAAAUGACAACUUUGGUUUCUUGCCAAAUCACAUUUCAUAAGGCGUCAUCUCAACGGAUUUUGAUGGUGCCCUAUUUAACGUGAAUGCAGCCGUCUCUAAAGCAUAACCCCAAAAUGAUAGCGGUAAAUCGGUAAGAGACAUCAUAUAUCGCACCAUAUCUAGUAAAGUACGAUUACGACGUUCGGACACACCAUUACGUUGUGGUGUUCCGGGUGGCGUGAGUUGCGAAACUAUUCCGCCUUGUUCAAAUGUAGACCAAACUCGUAACUCAAAUAUUUUCCUCCACGAUCAGAUCGUAGAAACUUUAUUUUCUUGUUAUGAUGAUUUUCCACUUCACUCUGAAAUUCUUUGAACUUUUCAAAUGUUUCAGACUUAUGUUUCAUUAAGUAGAUAUACCCAUAUCUGCUCAAAUCAUCUGUGAAGGUGAGAAAAUAACGAUACCAGCCAGGAGCCUCAAUAUUCAUCGGACCACAUACAUUAGUAUGUAUGAUUUCCAACAAAUCUGUUGCUCGCUCCAUUGUUCCGGAGAAUGACGUUUUAGUCAUCUUGCCCAUGAGGCAUGGUUCGCAAGUACCAAGUGAUUCAUAAUCAAAUGAUUCCAAAAGUCCAUCGGUAUGGAGUUUCUUCAUGCGCUUUACACCAAUAUGACCCAAACUGCAGUGCCACAAAUAAGUUGCACUAUCAUUAUCAACUCUGCAUCUUUUGGCUUCAACAUUAUGAAUAUGUGUAUCACUACUAUUGAGAUUCAUCACAAAUAGACCACUCUUCAAGGGUGCAUGACCAUAAAAGAUAUUACUCAUAUAAAUAGAACAACCAUUAUUCUCUGAUUUAAAUGAAUAACCGCCUCGCAUAAAACAAGAUCCAGAUAUAAUGUUCAUGCUUAACGCUGGCACCAAAUAACAAUUAUUUAGGUCUAAAACUAAUCCCGAAGGUAGAUGUAGAGGUAGCGUGCCGACGGCGAUCACAUCGACUUUGGAACCAUUUCCCACGCGCAUCGUCACCUUGUCCUUAGCCAGUCUUCGCUUAAUCCGUAGUCCCUGUUUCGAGUUGCAAAUAUUAGAAAUAGAACCAGUAUCAAAUACCCACGUGCUACUGCGAGCUCUAGUAAGGUACACAUCAAUAACAUGUAUAUCACAUAUACCUUUGUUCACCUUGCCAUCCUUCUUAUCCGCCAAAUACUUGGGGCAGUUCCGCUUCCAGUGACCAGUCUGUUUGCAGUAGAAGCACUCAGUCUCAGGCUUAGGUCCAGACUUGGGUUUCUUCUCUUGAGCAGCAACUUGUUUGCCGUUCUUCUUGAAGUUCCCCUUCUUCUUCCCUUUACCCUUUUUCUUGAAACUGGCGGUCUUGUUGACCAUCAACACUUGAUGCUCCUUCUUGAUUUCUACCUCUGCAGCCUUUAGCAUUGCGAAGAGCUCAGGAAUUGUCAUAUCCAUCCCUUGCAUAUUAUGGUUCAUCACGAAGCUCUUGUAGCUUGGUGGUAGUGAUUGAAGAAUUCUGUCAAUGACACUAUCAUCCGGAAGAUUAACUCCCAGUUGAAUCAAGUGAUUGUUAUACCCAGACAUUUUGAGUAUAUGUUCACUGACAGAACUAUUCUCCUCCAUCUUGCAGCUGUAGAACUUAUUGGAGACUUCAUAUCUCUCAAUCCGGGCAUUUGCUUGAAAUAUUAGCUUCAACUCCUGGAACAUCUCAUAUUCUCCAUGACGUUCAAAACGUCGUUGAAGCCCCGGUUCUAAGCCGUAAAGCAUGGCACACUGAAUUAUCGAGUAGUCAUCAGCUUUGCUCUGCCAGACGUUCUUAACGUCGUCAGUUGCAUCUGCAGCAGGCCUGGCACCCAGCGGUGCUUCCAGGACGUAAUUCUUCUGUGCAGCAAUGAGGAUAAUCCUCAAGUUACGGACCCAGUCCGUGUAAUUGCUACCAUCAUCUUUCAACUUUUCUUUCUCAAGGAACGCAUUAAAAUUCAAUGGAACAACAGUACGGGCCAUCUAUCUACAAUAACAUAGACAAGCAAAAUACUAUCAGGUACUAAGUUCAUGAUAAAUUUAAGUUCAAUUAAUCAUAUUACUUAAGAACUCCCACUUAGAUAGACAUCCCUCUAAUCAUCUAAGUGAUCGCGUGAUCCAUAUCAACUAAACCAUAACCGAUCAUCACAUGAAAUGGAGUAGUUUUCAAUGAUGAACAUCACUAUGUUGAUCAUAUCUACUAUAUGAUUCACGCUCGACCUUUCGGUUUCAGUGUUCCGAGGCCAUAUCUGCAUAUGCUAGGCUCGUCAAGUUUAACCCGAGUAUUCUGCGUGUGUAAAACUGUCUUACACCCGCUGUAGAUGAACGCCGAGCUUAUCACACCCGAUCAUCACGUAGUGUCUCGGCACGACGAACUUUGGCAACGGUGCAUACUCAGGGAGAACACUUUUACCUUGAAAUUUAGUGAGAGAUCAUCUUAUAAUGCUACCGCCAAACAAAACAGAAUAAGAUGCAUAAAUGAUAAACAUCACAUGCAAUCAAUAUCAGUGAUAUGAUAUGGCCAUCAUCAUCUUGUGCCUUUGAUCUCCAUCUCCAAAGCACUGCCAUGAUCACCAUCGUCACCGGCGCGACACCUUGAUCUCCAUCGUAGCAUCGUUGUCGUCUCGCCAACUAUUGCUUCUACGACUAUCGCUACCGCUUAGUGAUAAAGUAAAGCAAUUACAGGGCGAUUGCAUUGCAUACAAUAAAGUGACAACCAUAUGGCUCCUGCCAGUUGUCGAUAACUUCGUUACAAAACAUGAUCAUCUCAUACAAUAAAUAUAGCAUCAUGUCUUGACCAUAUCAUAUCACAACAUGCCCUGUAAAAACAAGUUAGACGUCCUCUACUUUGUUGUUGCAAGUUUUACGUGGCUGCUACGGACUGAGCAAGAACCGUUCUUACCUACGCAUCAAAAACACAACGAUAGUUCGUCAAGUUAGUGAUGUUUUAACCUUCUCAAGGACCGGGCGUAGCCACACUCGGUUCAACUAAAGUUGGAGAAACUGACACCCGCUAGUCACCUGUGUGCAAAGCACGUCGGUAGAACCAGUCUCGCGUAAGCGUACGCGUAAUGUCGGCCCGGGCCGCUUCAUCCAACAAUACCGCCGAAUGAAAGUAUGACAUGCUGGUAAGCAGUAUGACUUGUAUCGCCCACAACUCACUUGUGUUCUACUCGUGCAUAUUACAUCUACGCAUAAACCUGGCUUGGAUGCCACUGUUGGGGAACGUAGUAAUUUUAAAAAAAUUCCUACGCACACACAGGAUCAUGGUGAUGCAUAGCAACAAGAGGGGAGAGUGUGUCCACGUAUCCUCGUAGACCGAAAGCGGAAGCUUUAGCACAAUGCCGUUGAUGUAGUCGUACGUCUUCACGAUCCGACCGAUCCAAGUACCGAACGCACGGCACCUCCGAGUUCAGCACACGUUCAACUCGAUGAUGUCCCGCGAGCUCCCAUCUAGCAAAGCUUCGUCGGAGAGUUUCGUCAGCACGGCGUGAUGAUGGUGAUGAUGAUGCUACCGACGCAGGGCUUCGCCUAAGCACCACUACGAUAUGAUCGAGGUGGAUUAUGGUGGAGGUGGGCACCGCACACGGCUGGGAGAGAUCAACAGAUCAACUUGUGUGUCUAGAGGUGCCCGCCUGCCCCCGUAUAUAAAGGAGCAAGCGGGGAGGCCGGCCGGCCCCCUGUAGGCGCGCCAGGAGGAGGAGUCCUCCUCCUAGUAGGAGUAGGACUCCCCUCUUUCCUACUCCGACUAGGAGGGGAAAAGGAAGGGGGAGAGGGAGAAGGAAAGGGGGGCGCUGCCCCCCCCCUCUCCUAGUCCAAUUCGGACCAGAGGGGGAGGGGCGCGCGGCCUGCCCUAGGCCAGCCUUCUCUCUCUCCACUAAGGCCCAUAAGGCCCACUAUUUCUCCCGGGGGGGGGGGGUCCGGUAACCGUCCGGCACUCCGGUUUUCUCCAAAACCACCCGGAACACUUCCGGUGUCCGAAUAUAGUCGUCCAAUAUAUUGAUCUUUACGUCUCGACCAUUUCAAGACUCCUUGUCAUGUCCGUGAUCAUAUCCGGGACUCCGAACUACCUUCGGUACAUCAAAACACAAAAACUCAUAAUAUCGAUCGUCACCGAACUUUAAGCGUGCGGACCUACGGGUUCGAGAAUUAUGUAGACAUGACCGAGACACAUCUCCGUUCAAUAACCAAUAGCGGAACCUGGAUGCUCAUAUUGGCUCCCACAUAUUCUACGAAGAUCUUUAUCGGUCAAACCGCAUAACAAUAUACGUUGUUCCCUUUGUCAUCGGUAUGUUACUUGUCCGAGAUUCGAUCGUCGGUAUCUCAAUACCUAGCUCAAUCUCGUUACCGGCAAGUCUCUUUACUCGUUACAUAAUGCAUCAUCCCGCAACUAACUCAUUAGUCACAUUGCUUGCAAGGCUUUAUGAUGUGCAUUACCGAGAGGGCCCAGAGAUACCUCUCCGACAAUCGGAAUAAGAAAUCCUAAUCUCGAUCUAUGCCAACUCAACAAGUACCAUCGGAGACACCUGUAGAGCACCUUUAUAAUCACCCAGUUACGUUGUGACGUUUGGUAGCACACAAAGUGUUCCUCCGGUAAUCGGGAGUUGCAUAAUCACAUAGUCAUAGGAACAUGUAUAAGUCAUGAAGAAAGCAAUAGCAGUAAACUAAACGAUCAAGUGCUAAGCUAACGGAAUGGGUCAAGUCAAUCACAUCAUUCUCCUAAUGAUGUGAUCCCGUUAAUCAAAUGACAACUCAUGUCUAUGGUUAGGAAACUUAACCAUCUUUGAUUAAUGAGCUAGUCAAGUAGAGGCAUACUAGUGACACUAUGUUUGUCUAUGUAUUCACACAUGUAUUAUGUUUCUGGUUAAUAUAAUUCUAGCAUGAAUAAUAAACAUUUAUCAUGAUAUGAGGAAAUAAAUAAUAACUUUAUUAUUGCCUCUAGGGCAUAUUUCCUUCAUGGUCGCCAUAGUAGGAGGUGGUUCCCCUCCUUGCGGUGGUGGCUCCGGUCUCAGUAGUGACGUGGCUCAGCAAAAGGGUGACGAGGGUGAUGCUACGUGCGAAAGCCCUAUGUCGGCCUCGGUCGGCAUCGGCGGUAGCGGCGCACUGCAGCGUCGGAUCGCUCCCUAGAGGUGCCGUUGUGUGAUGCACUGGUUCCUUCGCCUACUCUGUUCGUUCUCCGGGUGAAAGCCUUAGAUCCAGCCCCUGGAUCGGACGGCAGCGGCGUCCACGACGUCGUUACCACCUCGGUGGUGCCUGUCUUCGGAGACGUUGCUCCAUGUUGCUUGCCUGAGGUUUGGGUGGUGUUUGGCUGGCUUGAGGUUGGUGGUCAGUGGUGGUGGUGCGGCUGGUGGUGUGUUUGUGCGGCCGGCUGGGGUCGACGGUGGUGUGUGAUGUGGUGGUGGUGGCGCGGCCGGCUUGCGCUGGUGUGCACGGUGAACCGAUUCGGGUGUAGACUCGGCUCCUUGAUGCCCUUCGGCUUCGCUGGCGGUGCCGCUGUUGUGAUGUAGCAUCGGCUGCGGGUGGCUCUUCGUCCGGGUGUGGACUCGGUCUCUCGUUGCCCUUCGGCUGCACCAAUAGCCUUGAGGCACCAUGGAUGGUCUCGGUUGAUUGGAGCUCUUCAUCUACGGUAGUGGUUUUCUCGUGCGGCUCAGUUGGUAAUGGCUGCUCAAGACCCUCUCAUGGUUGCCAUUGUGUUGUGGCGAGCUUCGUGCUCUUGGUGUUGUCUCAGUUCAUCUUUGCUCAAGGUCGGCGCAAGAUGCCUCUCAAACUUACUAUCGUUCCGUUUUCCUGUGGCGGAGCCCUAGUCAAGGUUUGUGUCUGGGAUGACACUCAUUGAUUGUGGAUGCUCCUGAGUUGUGUCAUGGGGGCCGGUAUGCUUGCCGAUGCGUUCGGCUGUUUGCAAAGUCUUGGUAUUGUGAUCUCCCGACGACACCCCACAUCUACUUGCGUCUCUCGUGGUGAUGGUCUUAUGUCUACUAGCUUGGUCGUGCCUUGUAUGGUUUUCGGCCCAGUUUUCCUUAAAAUGGGUCAAUUUUGUAAGGUUUUCGAUUCGGUUUUCCUUAUAAACUGCAUCACUCCUCUGGCAUAUUUGGCCACUUUGAGUAAUAUAUUCAGGUGGAGGAACUCCUCCCCCGGUGAUUCUCAAAAAAAAAAAACAUUGUCUCUUCUUGGGUGCAGAGAAUUCAUUACAAGGAACCAUAGUGGAAUUAAUCUCCUAAAAAGAGUGAGCAUCACUUAAUUCUGUCAUGGCAAGGCUAUUGACCGAUGCUGUGAAAUCAAAAGAACAAGCUGAAUCACAAUUGUUGUAAGGAAGAACCUGAAAGAUUAGCAAUUUUGAUACAAAAAUUUACCUGAGAUGGCUGGUACACUACACGGAUUGGUCUUUCCUGCCAAGAAUGGCGAGGGUGAGUUCGCGCUAGUUUCCUCCAUUUAGAAGAACAAUUGCCUUCUCUUCUCUGCUUUCCUAGCAAAAAUUUAAAUGGAGGCACAUAUCACAAACUGGAUACAGUCCGAAGGAAGUGCAGGCUACUGUGCUAAAAGGAGUGCUUCUGAAACUGAAGCAGCCCUAUAGUGACAAUUUUGAUUCCAAUAUGUACUGAAAAUUAGCAUCCACUAAAUUGAUUGCAUUGCAAAUUAUAAGCACCACAAUCAGAUGGAAAUCUCUUGAUUACAGUACAUGGUAGCAAGGACCAAAAUUGGAGCCGACUCAAGAAAAAAAAUCCAGUGCAAGCACGUUCUAAUGUGGGAUGGUUAGGACAUACAGUACUAGUUUUCUGUGGGAAAAAAAUGCACUUACUACUAACCUGCCUCCCUUUAGAUUAAUGAACAGUAGAUGUUGUGGCACCGAGAAGUCUCCACUGCCGUUGCUACUCCCCCAAUAUCACCACCAGAACAAGCAUGGAAUGGUGUUGUAUACCCGGUACUUCUCGGCAGUAGACAGGGAGAUAUGUGGGGAAGCAAUUUCCUGGUUAGGGUUAAGAACUGACUCGAACAAGGCCGCCGCAGUCCGCGGUAGGGGACUUCGUGGUUCAGAGGGGAGGUGGGAAAGAUCUGGGAGGAAAAGGCCACCGCCGUCGACGAGGGUAUUUUGUGGCUCGGAGUGUGGGCGGGGAAGUGCUGGCUGGCAGCGGCAGUCUGCAGGGCAUGGCCGACGGCGCCGCCGCCGCCGCCGAGAUUGGAUUCGAGAACGGAAAAGAGCUGGCCUGAAUGGGAGUUUUCUUUGAAGUACAAAAUGUACAGGGCCUAAAUGCAAAAUGUACUGUAAAAGAGGCUGGAAUCCCACCUCACCGUAUCUGUACCAUGCAUCCAACAUCCAAUGGUCCAGGAUGUUGGAUCGCACGAUCACAGCUCAAGUACUGAUCCUAUANNNNNNNNNNNNNNNNNNNNNNNNNNNNNNNNNNNNNNNNNNNNNNNNNNNNNNNNNNNNNNNNNNNNNNNNNNNNNNNNNNNNNNNNNNNNNNNNNNNNNNNNNNNNNNNNNNNNNNNNNNNNNNNNNNNNNNNNNNNNNNNNNNNNNNNNNNNNNNNNNNNNNNNNNNNNNNNNNNNNNNNNNNNNNNNNNNNNNNNNNNNNNNNNNNNNNNNNNNNNNNNNNNNNNNNNNNNNNNNNNNNNNNNNNNNNNNNNNNNNNNNNNNNNNNNNNNNNNNNNNNNNNNNNNNNNNNNNNNNNNNNNNNNNNNNNNNNNNNNNNNNNNNNNNNNNNNNNNNNNNNNNNNNNNNNNNNNNNNNNNNNNNNNNNNNNNNNNNNNNNNNNNNNNNNNAAAAACUUACUGUUGUGGCUGAUGCAGCCGCGCACCCGCCAAAACGCUUGCACACAGCGUGAGGGCUGCACAAUGUUCGCUCGGAGUUUCUUUCUACACAACGAACAUUCUCGGUAUGGUUUUUCAGCGCGAUUUAAUGCCUACCAUCGGAUUUGGCCCGUCGACGUUGCGCAUACCGAGAACGUUCGUUGUGUAGAAUUUUUGUUUUUCAUAUUAAAAACACGUUCAAAUAAGGUCAUUUCCAAUUUCCAAGCCGUCGCGCCAAGUUCCAUUUGCUGAUUUGCGAUCGUUAUCAAACUGUUUAUACACAACAAGAAGAAAUCAAGGGGGAAAAAAACUGGUGGAAUCAAUGGAAGUCUAGAAGCUAGUAUUAUCACGCACGCGUCACGCUCGGCUCACGAAGGCCUCGCUCCCGACCUUGAUGGCACCAAAACCACCGCCGCGAGCGGCCAGUCCGCCCACCGCCGCGCCGCGACUCGUCUGCUCUGGCCGUUUCAGCGCGCAGGCGCCGAACUCGCACGGCCCGUCCUCGGCGAUGGUGACCAUCGCCGGGCGCUUCCUCCGCGCCGGGACGGCCGCCGGUGCCUGGCUAAGGUGGACCUUCUUCUUCGCUGCCCCGACGUCCGCCGGCUCGGGCGCGACGCGGCGCUGUUUCGACGCGGCGCGGUCCGAGCUCGCCCGCAGGUGCAUGGUCGUGGCCGGCCCGCCGAAGCCGCCGGGGCCGCGGCCACCCACGACCGCCCCCGCUGGCAUGCGGGCGCGCGCAUCCGGACAUGCAGCUCACGUAGAGGUCGCACGCUCUGGACAGCGCGCGCAUCGGCGCGCCGAGGCAGAAGAAGCACCCGCUGGUUUUCCCGCCACCCUUCUUCAUCCUUCUGCCUGCGUGCCGGAGCUGCGUUGGCUUCUUGCAGAGAAACACAAGAUCGAGCGCUGUAGAUUGCCUGCCUUUAAACUCGAUGGCUGGCUGCGUUGUGAGAGUGUACAAUGGCACCUCGAUCACCUCGUGAUAUAUAUAUAUAUAUAUACGCUUCCAUUAAUUCCGUCGACGUUGCCCGUUCCGUCCGCGUGAACUGCCGCUUGGUGUUGACGUUUUUGCGUUCACGUUCAUAUCCGUGGGGUCGGCAGGUUUCUGUGCCGGCGGAUAAGAGGGAAAUGGUCAGAAUCGGCAAUAAUUUUGAUGGAUUCGCAGGAAUUUGUCCACGGGUUUGGAGGAUAGGGUCGAGCUACAAGUUGAUCGGCUGGCCAACUCUCACGCGCUGCUUCUGUUGAUCCAGUGAAUCAUCAUUGCGUACGUGCAUGUUAGCCGUUUUUUGCGUGUCUGUUGCAAUUCUACCGGCAAAUAUAUCCUUAUUUAGUACUAGUACUCCAAUAAAACUUUUCUACCGUUGCUUGUUUCAGCGCACGUAUACCAUAAGACAGCAACCUCUACUGUUUCGAUUGUCUGCUAGUAAACCAUGUCUCCUGUCCUGAGGGAAGCUACCAUCUCUUUUCCUUUUGUUUUUAAAUUAAAAUAUCUGAUUGGCCACUUGCCCCUUGAUUUUGGCAUAGAGAGGACCAAAGAGAAAGCACAAGACACGGACACACCACCACCAUUAACAUUUACAUCAUCCUUCCUUAAGCAAAGCAAUUAGGAACGGGAGAUGUGGACUUUGGAGCAGAGGAAUUACUCAUGUUUCUCGGGGUCAACUUUGAAAAUUAACCUUUCCAAAAAAAACAUUGAAAAUUAACCACAUCGCCGCCGUCGAUUUUUCAUCUACUGGACGGAUGCGCACCCGUUUGCGAGCCGAAGCACCAGUCCUCCGAUCCGCCGCCCGCCAGUCCAUAUCCCCUACCGCCUACCGCACGUCACUUGACCAGCCAGCCGCCCCACUCCACCUGCACCCUCCCUCCACUACGGCACGAGCUCCCGGCGAUGUCGUGGCUCGCGCGCUCCAUUGCGGCCACCCUCUCCUCCGUCCCCGACGACGACGAUGACUGAGGCGGAGGGAGAGUAUGGGCCCCAGUCCCCGCGGGUCGCCGGGAUCCGGAACGACCUGGCUGAGAUCGGGGGCAGGGUGAGGAGCGGCAUCUCGAUGCUGUCCAACGCCAACGCCGUGGCGGAGAUCUCCAAGAUCGCUUCGUCCUUCCUGCCUUUCGUGCCUGAGGAAGAGGAGGAGGAGGUGGAUGCGGUGGGCGUGACGGAGGAGGUGGUGGUGUUCGUCUGGCACAUCUCGACCUCUCCCGAGACGUGGCUCGAUUUCCCCCUCUUCGUCAACGACCGCCACGCCGAUGGUAAGACCCAGUUGCUUCAGACUUUUCUGCUCGAGUUUUAUUUGCACUAGACUAUUAUUUAUGUGUACUAUGCACUUGUGUGGUUAUGAGAUGAGAUGUAGGUGCAGCAGAAGACUCUGAAUUCUGAAACUCAGAUUAUUAGAGAGGAAUCAGGUGUUUUAAUCUAUGUCUUUGCAGUUCUGCUCAAACUGUGUUUAUACUGCCUAUGCUGUGGUUAAUAGAAUGGUGUAUUUGCUAAGUGUGCAGACAUGAGGGUGCCAAAUCCACCACAUCAUGUUCAAACUGACUGUUUCUCGUCAUUUUUGAAGGUUUGCCAAAUGCCAAUGAAUUGUGCUGAAUUAAUUAACUAAGGCCCUAUUUGAUUCAUAAGUCCUAGGACUUUUUUUAGUCCCAACUUAUAAGUCCCUACUUGUUUGGUUCCUGGGACUUAACAUAUAUGGACUAAAAGACCAUAUGACAACUAGAAGUCCCUCCUUGAGAGUCCUAUUUCAUAAGUCCCAAAUGCCCACUUUAAGUCCCUACAAGUCCCUCCUGUUUGGUUUAGAUGGGACUUAAAGGGACUUAUUUAAGUCCCUACACCAAUAAGUCCCUGUAACCAAACACCCCCUAAUAUGUUGGCACUCCAUCUGAUUACAUUGGCGGAUAUUAGUUCGACAGAGUGGGUGCCUGAAAUGAGUUACUGUGUCUAGUCUCAACGGGGCUUUAGUUUGAGUUUGUUUGUUUAAGUGAAGUGGUAAUUAGUUGGAAGUAAUUUAAUGACGAAGUUUUGGAGUAUAGAUUGAGGAUUUUAAUACCCAGUAUGCACCUUCUCAUAAAUGCUUAUGAUGAAAAUUUGUCGCUUGCCAUGUAUUAUUAGUAUUGAAUUGUUACAAAGCCACAAUUUCUGCAAAAACAUCAGGAUUAACUAUACCAUUUACUAAUCUACAAGACAUCCCAAAGCCAGAGAUGAAUUAGAAAACAUCAAAACACUCAAGUGACAAAGCUAGAUGCAGACUCAAAGCACAUAUGCCAGCACAACUUAACCUGAUGAUUCACGUAAACGAAUCAAAUAUGGUUGUUAUAAUAAAUUGCUUGCUUGUACCAUUAAAAGUUUUACUUAUUAAGACACACACAUGAAGUCCCUAAAAAUAAAUGAGUUGUGUCAAUUGCCCACGCACCUUUGAUCAAAUAACUCAAAGAAGCACUUGACCUUGACUGCUUUCUAUACUUGGUGGGAGUUAAGCUUGUUUUCAAGGAAUCAAGGUUCCUGAUGAUAUCAGUACAUGUACACAAUAUAAUCGAACCAAGUACAUUUAUCUAGCAAUUUUUGUAGAUUUUAGCUUUUGUACAUAGACUUAUUGCUAAUCUUCCUGUUGUUUAUGAUGUAAUCAUAAUUUUUCCUACUUACCAAACUUGCGGACCAUGGAAUUUUCAUUGACUACUGUACUUCUUUGUACUAACUUGGCGUAGUAAUCAGUCGCAAAUAUGUUUUUAGGUGACCACGAAUACUUAUUACUAUAUGCUUAACAUCAUGCUCUUCUUCUCUUCAUUAUGUGGGAGUUUUCUUGCCAUUCAUGCAUCUUGUUCCAUCAUGUCAGUUGUAUCUUACAUAUCAUGCCUGACUGAUUUGCUCAAUUCCUUCGCUUAUAUCUGCUAUGCUUUUGUGUUCAGAUUUUGAACUGUCAGAUACACAAUAUGAACAUGCAUUGGCUAUAGAGCGUAUAGUACCAAGCUUAUCAUAUCUCAGAACCGAACUUUGUCCGACCAAUAUGAGUGAAGCAUGCUUUUGGAAGAUCUAUUUUGUGCUUCUUCACUCAAAGCUCAACAAGCAAGAUGCUGAACUUCUUUCAACGGCACAAGUAUGCUCCCUUCUCUGUCUUAUUAUUUUUGUUGUGUUUUCCAAACAUUCUUAGUUAAUACAGAUUAUCAUGCCAUCUUGCUGCAAUGCAUGCAAAUCUAUAAAUAGCUUUGUAAACAGAAACAUGUGCCCAUGCAUCUGAUUUUGUUUACCUGUUUCCAAAUGGGGCCUCUCAUUUCCAAAUUUUCAUCGCUUAAGAGUCACUUUUGGGGUUGUAGCUGACUAGCUGUAGUGGUGAAGUCUUUUAUCAGGAAUUCAUCUUUUGAUCCCUUCUAUAUCUGCAAUACGUCAUAUUGCAUGUUCACAAGAAAGAAGACAUCAAUCUGCAUUCUCAUUAAGCAUGAGAUAGUGAAAUUCCCUGAUAUUUCGUUCUAUGCAACUGUAUGGAAUUGGAUCUGGAUUGUUCAUCCAUUGUUGAAUAUGGGAUUGAACAUGCAUGGUCUCGUAAUAUUGCGAGACUUGUCUGAAACGUCUAAGCUGGGAAAUCAGGUCGAUUUAUCUGAGUACUGAGAACGAGCUUCAGAAUAUCUGUAGGACUUAAUAGUGGCCCUUGUUGGCUUUAUGAACAAGGAUGGAGUGUUAAAUCCACUUCCAGCCAAAUAUCAAUUAUGAUAAAUCCACCAUGUACCAUCAUCAUUGGAACAGUCUGGCUAAGUUUAUAUGAUCUCUGUAUGCUAAGUUGAGGAGAUUGUUAAUAUAUGAUCUCUCUUAAAUCUUUAUGCAUAUCCAAGCUCCACAUUGCCUUCUCAUUGCAGAUACAUUAAGUCACUCGUCAUGUUGAAUCUAUCGCCUGAUCAAGUUGAAUAUAACUCCGCGUUGUUAAUUUUUUCAAUAUUCUUGUGGUGGAAACAAUAAGGAUUGCUUAAACUAAGGUCUUCCAAAUGGAAAUAUCAGUGUAAAAUAUAGCGUACUCCCUAGUCCCUAACCAGCAACCUGAACAGCAGGAGGAUAUGUUAUGGGCCGUUAGAAUUUGGAUUGUGAACUAAGAUUAUCUUAUUUUGUCUAGUAUGUUUAUGAUCCAUGGACAAUUGUACUGUCAAUAUAGUUAAAGAAUGGUGUACCAUCAUGCAUGUGGAAUGUUGUGGAUCAUAUUAUGAUGUCAUCGGUACCAUAUAUACUAUCCUGUUGUCAAGAUAACGUAUGCUGCAUACUAAUAUAUCACCCUUGGAAACUUACAUUGACAACACCAGUGAGAAUUGAGAAAUGUCAGACUUUGUAGUAAUGUUGAAAAGGGGUUCUCACGAUGAUCUUUUGCUAAAUAUCACCUUAUUGAGAUAUUUCUUUCAUGCAGAUCCUGGAAGCAAGAGAAGAGUUAUUGCAAAGCUCCCCAAGGAUGAAAAAUGUAGCGCCUGAGGGUCCUAGGGGCUCAUCAGCAAGCAGCAAUGUUCUAUCUACCCAAGCUGAAGAUAGAGAGUUGUCACCCUCAAGCAGCGGGGUACAGUACAGGGUCCUCUACGACUUCAUCAUGGUCUUCAACUCAUAGAAGGUGAGCACCCCGUCUCCGUUGAGAUCGAACCUACGCAUCAUGGCGCGGUACCCGCCGACGUCCCGGCUGGCGCCCGCCUCAGGCUCGUCGGCGUGAUGGCGCGAUGAGAAAGCCCGUGUGCACGCACGGUAUAUGUAGGCGUACAAUACGUGUGCACGGCACAGUUGGCGGUGCCCCUGAACUCAUCGAAGCGCCGUAGUACAAUCAAAGGAAGUAGCAUCCGCCCGCGUCGCCCCGGGCGACACGGGGGAACCCUAGCGCCGCCACCGCCAAGUCCCCCUCGCCCCCUCCCUCGCUUCGCCGCCGCUGGAGGGACCGCCGGCGGAGUCCGCGUGCGCCCCAGGGAAGGUGGCGGUGGGGCGUUUUCCCUCCCCGCGGCGUUGCGCGCGCAUGCGCUGCCUGCGUUGCCUUGGGCGCGGGCGAGAUGCAGGGCCACGGGAGUGGCUUCAGCGCGGGGAGAGGCCGGAUCUUGGCCAGGCUUGGCCGGAUCUAGCUUCUCCGCCCCGGUUGGACGCCCUCGAUGUGGUGCAUGCCGUGUUGACGGACAGUGCUCAUCGACUCCAUGGUGGGGUCGUGGACGCUGAUCUGCGGCGGGUGGCGUUCGACGGCGAGGUGGGGCUCGGUGGCUUCAUGAUGGGGCUGUGAGAUCCGGCGGCCAGCGAGGGCUGGAUCCCGAGGCGGCGGCCCCGGACGGCGGAGGAUGUGUCGGCGGCUGUGGACUCGCGACGGGCGACGCGGCGGCCAUGGUGGUGGAUGAUCCGUGCACAAGACGCUUGAUGGAGGCCAUUGGAACAUAUCUGGGUGAAGACCUGCUCGCGGCUGCUGCCGAGGCCGACGAUGGCGGCACUAUUCGGUGUCGUUCCCUUGUUGAAGGCAUCGCUGUUGAGAAGUUCCAGGCCACUAUCUGCUACCUCCGGGGGAGACCCUAGAUCAGUAGAUCGGAUGACGGCGGCAUUAUUGUGUCGUUUCCCUCUUGUGGCGUCAUUCUUGGAGGUGUACACGGGCUCGAGGGACCAAUGGACGGAAUAUUUGGUGGAGCGGUGAUUCACCCUACACAUUAAUGGUGGCGUAUCUCGGCGGCGUGGCGCAGUGGAGACUCGGCGUCCGAUGUGUGGCGAGGGACUCGCGUAGGAGGGUGGCGUUAUCUGGCGUCGAUGGCAGAGAGGCCAGGCAAGGUGGAUGCAGCAGUACAACACUGAAGAUGGAUUGGUGGCAGGUGGCUGCGGUGGCCUCAUACCUGGCAGGCGUCCUGGUUGAGGAGUGCGCCGGACUGGUAGGUGCCCCAUACCCGGCAGACGUCCUGGUUGGGACCUCAGGUCUUAGAUGUUUAGGUUUUACUGCGAUGUCUGUUUGGUAUUAGGCCCAGGCUAUCAACGCCCCUUCAUCAAUUGGAUAGGAGUAGCGACAGUUGUUGCUUAGACGGUGGCUUUAAUCUUACUGUUGUAUGACUUUGUAAGGUCUUAUGAGAAUAAUUAAUAAAAUGGCCGUAUGCAUCGCCCAGAUGCAGAGGCCGGGGGCCCUCCUCCUUUUCUUAAAAAAAACAAUCAAAGGAAGUUCACCAGGCCAAUAUUGAAGUUCAAUUUUAAGUGGCACGGCGGUUCUAGACAAAUCCAUGGUUCUCGCCUCCAGGUUCUGCUAUAUAUAUUCCGUCAAACAAAUUCACUGGUCCAAAAUUUAACUCGCUCUUGUUGUCACCGUAGGAAUUAGUUGCUGAAGUUAAUCAAACACCAUUCCCAGUUUGCUCGCCCAAACCAAAGAUUCUCAGCUAUAAAUUCUUGCACAGAAGAGCUCCAUCUCAAUCAGCACCCAGUGAACUUGGCCAGAAUUCCUAUCAUUAGCUUCCAGUGAAUGGCUUACAAAGAUUUUGGCUAGCUAGCUUCUGCUGCCGGUGCCAUGCAUGUAUGCACGUGCGCGUGCUGAGUAGUUCAUUCACAUUUCGGUAGACCUGCAAAGAAAUUAAGCGUCCCACUGCGUGUUGCCAAAGAGGGUAUAGCUCCUUGGCGGACGCAACUUCGCGGCAGUUUUCCUUUGUCAUUGCCAUGGGAUGAGACCGUCACAUGCUUGCUCGUUUACAAGCCGAACCGCACCAGGCUCUCCUCCUCACUGUGUGUGUGUGUGUGUGUGCAGCUCACGCUGCGGCUGCUCGACACGUAGUCGGUGUUGGGGAGGCCCCACGCCGAUCCAGUCGCUUUCCUUCCUUCUCUCUCUCGCUGCCUGGCCACUUAAACAGCCCCGGCCGGCCUCCACCACCAGCGUCGUCGUUGUGCUCUGCAAUUGCCGCUCGAGCCCCUUGAGGAAAGAAGCAUACCAAGCGACGAACCUCGCUUGCAUCCGACCAGCGAGUGACGGUGAGUCCCCUCCAUCUCCGGCCACCUUGCUAAUGCUAAUGUGCUUUUCUUCUUCUUCCUUCCUGUUGAAUUAAUAUGGCGACAUGAAAUUAGAGAAGGGGAACUAACCUACGCUGGUGCUGAGCUUGGACAGCCAUGGACGCCGGCAAGACGCCUCAUCCGCUGCCUCUGAGCGCGGCCCAAAAGCAGAUCCGGGAUGAUGUCCCACAGGUCUGCGGAUGGGCGCUCUUCAACGCCUUCGCCAUCGCCGGCGGCCAAGCAUCCCUCUACAUAGCUGGCUACACCCACCUCGCGUGCAACCAGGUAACUAACUACCUGCCCGUGUACUACCCCAUGCUUGACAUUGCGACCGAUUCAUCAUGCGCCAAAGUUGAUAUGGUGUCCUCUGCAGUCAUCAUCCAUUCUGCCCUGCCUCUGGAUCGGGAUGCUGUGCUGCGCCGCAACCCAGUCGGCCGCGGCGGCGCUGGCGCUGCUGCUCCCAUGCCACCGUCGCCGGGCCAUCACCUACCUCGCGCUCGCGGUCACUGUCCUCUUCCAUUGCAUUUACGCCAUCCACUUCCGGAUCUCCCUCGCCGCCUACCCAGGAGGAUACAUCUUCGGCUGGAUCUUUUACACCGUGGUCAUCUGCUACAUGGUGGUGCGCGACCUGACCUGCCUGACCGAUCUCCUUCGAGGUGAUGGUUGGGGCAAGCAGUAGUGCAGUACGCGGUCUAUUAGUUCAGCUAGCUAGCAGCAAGCUGCAAGGGAUCAUGUCCGUGGAUCAGCUCAUGAGGUACUGACGAGAGCCUAGUUCUACUUCUAGGGAAUAAUAUAGAGUAUACAUGCAUUAAUUCCGCUGUGACGAUUGAUGGAGUUGUGCCGUAUUUGCGAAUCUAGUAGCUGGCUGGUGUAGUGUUAAUAUCCAGAUCGACUCCAGUAGUUGGGCAAUGCUUUGCCGGAUAUAUAAUUAGACUGGAUGGAUUGUGGCUAUCUUUGAUGUAUUCGACCUUAAUUUUCUCCAUAUGUGAUCGUCAGACAUGAGUUAUAUGCUUAUUUAGCACCAGCUUCGGUAUAAUUGAUGUUGCUGAAAUUGCUGCUGCAGUGUAUAUCCAUGUUGCUGCUUUGUAUAAUUCGACCUUUUAGUUUCACAGUUUUCCGAACCAAACAACUUCAGAAGGGAAAAUGUGUAGACCCUUUUAAGUUAUUUGCUCGAAAAAAAGAGAGUAAAUACAUGGAGCUAACUUUGCAGUGUAUGUGAGCGCCCCAUUACAAAUACGUGGGAAAUCCCAAAUAUGUAGGCACGAGUGAGUCAACUGACAAGUGUAAUUCCCACAUAAAUACAGUUUAUAUAGAGCUAUUGAUGGAUGACCCCACCGAUGUAUACAUGCAAAUAUGGUUCACCCAUGUAGGCUAAUGGUCUAGACAUAAUUAGCUCCCGUUCUCAUCCGAUGACUCUGAUUCGCUCCAAGGAUCGGAGUAGGUGACCUCUCGGAUGGUCGGGAGGCCAACAUUUUCGUCGUCGUUCGUGAAGUAGAUUGGUUCACCGAUACUGCUUUCCUCGUCGUUCGUGAAGUAGAUUGGUUCUCCAAUACUGCUUUCGUCGUCCGAGAUCGACACGACAUCGACCAGGUUUGUACUGUCGCUGGUGGUGAAGCUGGUGACGAUGCAGUCCUCUGGCGUAUGGCCGAUGAGGCAGUUGCCACAGACAAUCGCGACGAGCUGAGAGGUUUGCGCGGGCCGCUCUGGGCAUAUGAAGCCGGAGCAACCCCGAGCCCCCGUUAUCCGGGGAGAGGGCGCCGCCCACUUGUAAGGUUCCGACGCCCAUGGCGAAAGAAUUUGGGGGCCAGCUUGUAUGGAGGUUGGUGGCGUGGACGUUAAGGCCGUGGGCGACAUCAUGAUCUGUUGGUCUUGGGGCCUCCUCGGGAGGAUGCAUUUGUUGCUGGUGAUCAUGGCAGCUGGACACUAGUAGAAAAACGACCUUACGUGAGACAUAUUAGUCCCGGUUUGAUUUUGGCCUGGUACCAUUACUUCGGUUCGAACGACUAUGCAUUAGUACCGGUUCAUGUUAAAUCUUUAGUACCGGUUCGUGGCGAGAACCGGUACUAAAGGGGUGGUGGCAGGCUGGCGUCAGGCCGGGGCCCCACGAGCCCCUUUAAUGCCGGUUUGUGACUAAAGGUCUACCUUUAGUCCCGGUUUGUGUCACAAACCGACACUAAAGGGGUCUUAACCUAUAGUCCCGAUUGGAGACACAAACCGGAACUAUAGGGCAAUUUUCAAACUCUACCCNNNNNNNNNNNNNNNNNNNNNNNNNNNNNNNNNNNNNNNNNNNNNNNNNNNNNNNNNNNNNNNNNNNNNNNNNNNNNNNNNNNNNNNNNNNNNNNNNNNNNNNNNNNNNNNNNNNNNNNNNNNNNNNNNNNNNNNNNNNNNNNNNNNNNNNNNNNNNNNNNNNNNNNNNNNNNNNNNNNNNNNNNNNNNNNNNNNNNNNNNNNNNNNNNNNNNNNNNNNNNNNNNNNNNNNNNNNNNNNNNNNNNNNNNNNNNNNNAAAAAACAAAAGAAAAUGAGAAAAACUUCAAAAAUUAAAAUUCUUCGAGAUGUAGUUAUGUUACUGCAUCUACUAGUUAGGUAAAUUUAAGAACAUAAGUUUCGACAUGUUUUGCAAAAAAGUGUGAUGAAAAACUAAAACGACUAUAUCUUUUGCAUACGAUGUUGCAAAAAAGUAUAAUAUAUCAAAAUGUUCAGCACGAAAAUCCGCAUCCGAUUUUGACCGCCGUAGGCCGUUUUGCAUAUUUUCAGAAUCCUCAAACUCUAAAAGGAAAAAAAGAUAUGCUCAAAUUUCAGUUUUUUUGAAUUUUGGUUAAAUCUGGUCAAACUGUGGUCAAACUACUUAUUCAAGAAAUAUUAGUGUUACUAAAUAAUUAUUCAAGACUAUUAGUGUUACUAAAUAAUUAUUUUAUUUUUUGUGAGUUUUGGUCAAAUCUGGUCAAACUGUGGUCAAACUAUGGUCAAACUACUUAUUCAAGAAAUAUUAGUGUUACUAAAUAAUUAUUGUUUUUUAAAAUAAUAGUUUCAAACUCAAACGGUGAAACAUGUCACUUCAUGCUCAAGCUAAACUACUGACGCUUAAUAGGAUUUACAACUUACUAUUGUCAGCAAAACAAUAAGUGCAGACUUGGAAACUAGGAGGAAUAAAACUUGGAAGUUAAGAGUGCUCAGGCUAGAGUAGUGCAAGGAUGGGUGACCGGCCGGAAAGUUAGACGAUUUGAAAUGAGUGAUCCACACUUGAGCAGUUAUGAGGGGUGAUUAGAGACUAAAUCGUCAAAUAAUUCAGAAAAUUGAAAAUUGAAAAAAAAAUCAUAAUCAUUUUCUUUUCCAAAAAAAAACCCUUUAGUAUCGGUUGGUGUUACCAACCGGUACUAAAGGUCUCUCAGCCCCCGCCGCUGGCUCGUGCCACGUGGUGGCCCUUUAGUGGCAGUUCGUGUUGAACCGGUACUAAAUCGUCAAAUAAUUCAGAAAAUUGAAAAUCGAAAAAAAAUCAUAAUCAAUUUUUUCCAAAAAAUAAAAAAACAUUUAGUACCGGUUGGUGUUACCAACCGGUACUAAAGGUCGCCCAGCCCCCGCCGCUGGCUCGUGCCACGUGGUGGUCCUUUAGUGGCGGUUCGUGUUGAACCAGUACUAAAGGUGGGGGGCCUUUAGUCCCCACCCUUUAGUGCCGGUUACAGAACCUACACUAAAGGGCCUAACGAACCGGUGCUAUAACUCGGUUCUGCACUAGUGGGGUUCACCUUGGUUGUAGUGUAUGGGUGGGCCGGUGGGAUGACAUUGACCCGGUCUGCUCCGUCGACGAUGAAGGUGAGAGAGCCGAAGAUUAGGCUUUCUCCCGGCUGCCGAGACACAAAGAAGAUCCAAUCUGAGAUCAGUCUAGUCGGCACCACCCGUGCCUGGUGCGCCAACUGACGGUGCAAAACACCGUCAGAUCCCUCGGUAGAGGUCCAAGCGCAGCUGGAAGUCUUAGAUCGGGAGAUCACAAAAGGGUUUUACCUUGGUUCAGGCCUCCGGAGAGUAAUACCCUAUAUCCUGCUUGUUUUGGUUAUUCAUUGUGGAGGGAUACCUCGUGCGAGGGGUUAUAAUGGUGUAUGAGAUUGCUACCGAGGGUUUCUAUGUGAAAAUACAUAAAAAAAUAAGGGUUCCCUAGCCUUCCCUUGUAUAGGUGGUGGAGGCCUAGGGUUGACAGUGGUAGAUGCAAUGUCCUUUGCUGUUGGGGAACGUAGUAAUUUCAAAAAAUUUCCUACGCACACGCAAGAUCAUGGUGAUGCAUAGCAACGAGAGGGGAGAGUGUUGUCCACGUACCCUCGUAGACCGACAGCGGAAACAUUAUCACAACGCGGUUGAUGUAGUCGUACGUCUUCACGAUCCGACCGAUCAAGUACCGAACGCACGGCACCUCCGAAGUUCUACACACGUUCAGCUCGAUGACGUCCCUCGAACUCUGAUCCAGCCAAGUGUUGAGGGAGAGUUUCGUCAGCACGAUGGCGUGGUGACGAUGAUGAUGUUCCACCGACGCAUGGCUUCGCCUAAGCUCCGCGACGGCAUUAUCGAGGUGUAAUCUGGUGGAGGGGGGCACCGCACACGGCUAAAAUAUCGUAUAUCAAAGUGUGUAGAGAGGUGCCCCCCUGCCCCCGUAUAUAAAGGAGCAAGGGAGGAGGAGGCCGGCCCUAGGAGGGGGCGCACCAAGUGUGGAGUCCUACUAGGACUCCCUAGUCCUAGUAGGAUUCCACCUCCCAUAUGGAAUAGGAAAAGAGGAAGGGAAAAAGAGAAGGAAGGAAGGGGGCGACCCCUUCCCUAGUCCAAUUCGGACCAGACCAAGGGGAGGGGUGCGGCCACCCUUGAGGCCCUUUUCCUUCUUUCCCGUAUGGCCCAAUAAGGCCCAAUACGUAUUCCCGUAACUCUCCGGUACUCCGAAAAAUACCCGAAUCAUUCGGAACCUUUCCGAAGUCCGAAUAUAGUCGUCCAAUAUAUCGAUCUUUACGUCUCGACCAUUUCGAGACUCCUCGUCAUGUCCCCGAUCUCAUCCGGGACUCCGAACUCCUUCGGUACAUCAACAUACAUAAACUCAUAAUAAAACUGUCAUCGUAACUUUAAGCGUGCGGACCCUUUGGGUUCGAGAACUAUGUAGACAUGACCGAGACACCUCUCCGGUCAAUAACCAAUAGCGGGACCUAGAUGCCCAUAUUGGCUCCCACAUAUUCUACGAAGAUCUUUAUCGGUCAGACCGCAUAACAACAUACGUUGUUCCCUUUGUCAUCGGUAUGUUACUUGCCCGAGAUUCGAUCGUCGGUAUCUCGAUACCUAGUUCAAUCUCGUUACCGGCAAGUCUCUUUACUCGUUCUGUAAUACAUCAUCCCGCAACUAACUCAUUAGUCACAAUGCUUGCAAGGCUUAUAGUGAUGUGCAUUACCGAGUGGGCCCAGAGAUACCUCUCCGACAAUCGGAGUGACAAAUCCUAAUCUCGAAAUACGCCAACCCAACAAGUACCUUUGGAGACACCUGUAGAGCACCUUUAUAAUCACUCAUUUACGUUGUGACGUUUGGUAGCACACAAAGUGUUCCUCCGGUAAACGGGAGUUGCAUAAUCUCAUAGUCAUAGGAACAUGUAUAAGUCAUGAAGAAAGCAAUAGCAACAUACUAAACGAUCGGGUGCUAAGCUAACGUAAUGGGUCAUGUCAAUCACGUCAUUCUCCUAAUGAGGUGAUCCCGUUAAUCAAAUGACAACUCAUGUCUAUGGCUAGGAAACAUAACCAUCUUUGAUUAACGAGCUAGUCAAGUAGAGGCAUACUAGUGACACUUUGUUUGUCUAUGUAUUCACACAUGUAUUAUGUUUCCGGUUAAUACAAUUCUAGCAUGAAUAAUAAACAUUUAUCAUGAUAUAAGGAAAUAUAUAAUACUUUAUUAUUGCCUCUAAGGCAUAUUUCCUUCAGUCUCCCACUUGCACUAGAGUCAAUAAUCUAGUUCACAUCGCCAUGUGAUUUAACAUCAAUAAUUCACAUCACCAUGUGAUUAACACCCAUAGUUCACAUCUCUAUGUGACCAACACUCAAAGGGUUUACUAGAGUCAAUAAUCUAGUUCACAUCUCUAUGUGAUUAACACCCAAAGAGUACUAAGGUGUGAUCAUGUUUUGAUUGUGAGAUAAUUUUAGUCAACGGGUCUGUCACAUUCAGAUCCGUAAGUAUUUUGUAAAUUUCUAUGUCUACAAUGCUCUGCACGGAGCUACUCUAGCUAAUUGCUCCCACUUUCAAUAUGUAUCUAGACCGAGACUUAGAGUCAUCUAGAUUUAGUGUCAAAACUUGCAUCGACGUAACCCUUUACGACGAACCUUUUGUCACUUCCAUAAUCGAGAAACAUAUCCUUAUCCUUUUCAGGUAUUUCAGGAUGUUCUUGACCGCUAUCCAGUGAUCCACUCCUGGAUUACUUUGGUACCUUCUUGCUAGACUUAUAGCAAGGCAUACAUCAGGUCUGGUACACAGCAUUGCAUACAUGAUAGAGCCUAUGGCUGAAGCAUAGGGGACAUCUUUCAUCUUCUCUCUAUCUUCUGCAGUGGUCGGGCAUUGAGUCUUACUCAACUUCACACCUUGCAACACAGGCAAGAAUCCUUUCUUUGCUUGAUCCAUUUUGAACUUCUUCAAAACUUUGUCAAGGUAUGUGCUUUGUGAAAGUCCAAUUAAGCGUCUUGAUCUAUCUCUAUAGAUCUUGAUGCCCAAUAUAUACGCAGCUUCACCGAGGUCUUUCAUUGAAAAACUCUUAUUCAAGUAUCCCUUUAUGCUAUCCAGAAAUUCUAUAUCAUUUUCAAUCAGUAAUAUGUCAUCCACAUAUAAUAUCAGAAAUGUUACAGAGCUCCCACUCACUUUCUUGUAAAUACAGGCUUCUCCAAAAGUCUGUAUAAAACCAAAUGCUUUGAUCACAUUAUCAAAGCGUUUAUUCCAACUCCGAGAGGCUUGCACCAGUCCAUAAAUGGAUCGCUGGAGCUUGCACACUUUGUUAGCUCCCUUUGGAUCGACAAAACCUUCUGGUUGCAUCAUAUACAACUCUUCUUCCAGAAAUCCAUUCAGGAAUGCAGUUUUGACAUCCAUUUGCCAAAUUUCAUAAUCAUAAAAUGCGGCAAUUGCUAACAUGAUUCGGACAGACUUAAGCAUCGCUACGGGUGAGAAGGUCUCAUCGUAGUCAAUCCCUUGAACUUGUCGAAAACCUUUCGCAACAAGUCGAGCUUUAUAGAUAGUAACAUUACCAUCAGCGUCAGUCUUCUUCUUGAAGAUCCAUUUAUUUUCAAUGGCUUGCCGAUCAUUGGGCAAGUCAACCAAAGUCCAUACUUUGUUCUCAUACAUGGAUCCCAUCUCAGAUUUCAUGGCCUCAAGCCAUUUUGCGGAAUCUGGGCUCACCAUCGCUUCUUCAUAGUUCGUAGGUUCGUCAUGGUCUAGUAACAUAACUUCCAGAACAGGAUUACCGUACCACUCUGGUGCGGAUCUUACUCUGGUUGAUCUACGAGGUUCAGUAAUAACUUGAUCUGAAGUUUCAUGAUCAUCAUCAUUAACUUCCUCACUAAUUGGUGUAGGUGUCUCAGAAACAGGUUUCUGUGAUGAACUACUUUCCAAUAAGGGAGCAGGUAUAGUUACCUCAUCAAGUUCUACUUUCCUCCCACUCACUUCUUUCGAGAGAAACUCCUUCUCUAGAAAGGAUCCAUUUUUAGCAACGAAUGUCUUGCCUUCGGAUCUGUGAUAGAAGGUGUACCCAACUGUCUCCUUUGGGUAUCCUAUGAAGACACAUUUCUCCGAUUUGGGUUUGAGCUUAUCAGGAUGAAACUUUUUCACAUAAGCAUUGCAACCCCAAAAUUUUAAGAAACGACAACUUUGGUUUCUUGCCAAACCACAGUUCAUAAGGCGUCGUCUCAACGGAUUUUGAUGGUGCCCUAUUUAACGUGAAUGUAGCUGUCUCUAAUGCAUAACCCCAAAACGAUAGUGGUAAAUUGGUAAGAGACAUCAUAGAUUGCACUAUAUCCAAUAAAGUAUGGUUAUGACGUUCGGACACACCAUUAUACUGUGGUGUUCCAGGUGGCAUGAGUUUGUGGAACUAUUCCACAUUGUUUUAAUUGAAGGCCAAACUUGUAACUCAAAUAUUUGUCUCUGCGAUCAGAUCGUAGAAACUUUAUUUUCUUGUUACGAUGAUUUUCUACUUCACUCUGAAAUUAUAUGAACUUUUCAAAUGUUUCAGACUUCUGUUUCAUUAAGUAGAUAUACCCAUAUCUGCUCAAAUCAUCUGUGAAGGUCAGAAAAUAAUGAUACCUGCUACGAGCCUCAAUAUUCAUCGGGCCACAUACAUCUGUAUGUAUGAUUUCCAACAAAUCUGUUGCUCUCUCCAUAGUUCCGGAGAACGGCGUUUUAGUCAUCUUGCCCAUGAGGCACGGAUCGCAAGCAUCAAGUGAUUCAUAAUCAAGUGAUUCCAAAAUCCCAUCAGUAUGGAGUUUCUUCAUGCGCUUUACACCAAUAUGACCUAAACGGCAAUGCCACAAAUAAGUUGCACUAUCAUUAUUAACUUUGCAUCUUUUGGCUUCAAUAUUAUGAUUAUGUGUAUCACUACGAUCGAGAUCCAACAAACCAUUUUCGUUGGUGUGUAUGACCAUAGAAGGUUUUUAUUCAUGUAAACAGAACAACAAUUGUUCUCUAACUUAAAUGAAUAACAGUAUUGCAAUGAUCAAAUCAUUUUCAUGCUCAACGCAAACACCAAAUAACACUUAUUUAGUUUCAACACUAAUCCCGAAAGUACAGGGAGUGUGCGAUGAUGAUCAUAUCAAUCUUGGAACUACUUCCAACACACAUCGUCACCUCGCCUUUUACUAGUCUCUGUUUAUUCUGCAACUCCCGUUUCGAGUUACUACUCUUAGCAACUGAACCAGUAUCAAAUACCGAGGGGUUGCUAUAAACACUAGUAAAGUACACAUCAAUAACAUGUAUAUCCAAUAUACCUUUGUUCACUUUGCCAUCCUUCUUAUCCACCAAAUAGUUGGGGUAGCUCCGCUUCCAGUGACCAGUCCCUUUGCAGUAGAAGCACUUAGUCUCAGGCUUAGGACCAGACUUAGGCUUCUUCACUUGAGCAGCAACUUGCUUGCCGUUCUUCUUGAAGUUCCCCUUCUUCCCUUUGCCCUUUUCUUGAAACUAGUGGUCUCGUCAACCAUCAACACUUGAUGUUUUUCUUGAUUUCUACCUUCAUCGAUUUCAGCAUCACGAAGAGCUCGGGAAUUACUUUCGUCAUCCCUUGCAUACUAUAGUUCAUCACGAAGUUCUACUAACUUGGUGAUGGUGACUAGAGAAUUCUGUCAAUCACUAUUUUAUCUGGAAGAUUAACUCCCACUUGAUUCAAGCGAUUGUACCCAGACAAUCUGAGCACAUGCUCACUAGUUGAGCGAUUCUCCUCCAUCUUUUAGCUAUAGAACUUGUUGGAGACUUCAUAUCUCUCAACUCGGGUAUUUGCUUGAAAUAUUAACUUCAACUCCUGGAACAUCUCAUAUGGUUCAUGACGUUCAAAACGUCUUUGAAGUCCCGAUUCUAAGCCGUUAAGCAUGGUGCACUAAACUAUCAAGUAGUCAUCAUAUUGAGCUAGCCAAACGUUCAUAACGUCUGCAUCUGCUCCUGCAAUAGGUCUGUCACCUAGCGGUGCAUCAAGGACAUAAUUUUCUGUGCAGCAAUGAGGAUAAUCCUCAGAUCACGGAUCCAAUCCGCAUCUUUGCUACUAACAUCUUUCAACAUAAUUUUUCUCUAGGAACAUAUCAAAAAUAAACACAGGGAAGCAACAACGCGAGCUAUUGAUCUACAACAUAAUUUGCAAAAUACUAUCAGGACUAAGUUCAUGAUAAAUUUAAGUUCAAUUAAUCAUAUUACUUAAGAACUCCCACUUAGAUAGACAUCCCUCUAAUCCUCUAAGUGAUCACAUGAUCCAUAUCAAUUAAACCAUGUCCGAUCAUCACGUGAGAUGGAGUAGUUUCAAUGGUGAACUCACUAUGUUGAUCAUAUCUACUAUAUGAUUCACGCUCGACCUUUCGGUCUCCGUGUUCCGAGGCCAUAUCUGUUAUAUGCUAGGCUCGUCAAGUUUAACCUGAGUAUUCCGCGUGUGCAACUGUUUUGCACCCGUUGUAUUUGAACGUAGAGCCUAUCACACCCGAUCAUCACGUGGUGUCUCAGCACGAAGAACUUUUGCAACGGUGCAUACUCAGGGAGAACACUUUUAUCUUGAAAUUUUAGUGAGAGAUCAUCUUAUAAUGCUACCGUCAAUCAAAGCAAGAUAAGAUGCAUAAAAGAUUAACAUCACAUGCAAUCAAUAUAAGUGAUAUGAUAUGGCCAUCAUCAUCUUCUGCUUGUGAUCUCCAUCUCCGAAGCACCGUGCUCGUGAUCUCCAUCUCCGAGGCACCGUCAUGAUCACCAUCGUCACCGGCGCAACACCUUGAUCUCCAUCGUAGUAUCAUUGUCGUCUCGCCAACUUAUUGCUUUUACGACUAUCGCUACCGCUUAGUGAUAAAGUAAAACUAUUACAUGGCGAUUGCAUCUCAUACAAUAAAGUGACAACCAUAUGGCUCCUGCCAGUUGCCGAUAACUCGGUUACAAAACAUGAUCAUCUCAUACAACACAUUAUAUCACAUCAUGUCUUGACCAUAUCACCUCACAACAUGCCCUGCAAAAACAAGUUAGACGUCCUCUACUUUGUUGUUGCAAGUUUUUACGUGGCUGCUACGGGCUUAGCAAGAACCGUUCUUACCUACGCAUCAAAACCAUAAUGAUAGUUUGUCAAGUUGGUGCUGUUUUAACCUUCGCAAGGACCGGGCGUAGCCACACUCGGUUCAACUAAAGUGAGAGAGACAGACACCCGCCAGUCACCUUUAAGCAACGAGUGCUCCGAACGGUGAAACCAGUCUCGCGUAAGCGUACGCGUAAUGUCGGUCCGGGCCGCUUCAUCUCACAAUACCGCUGAACCAAAGUAUGACAUGCCGGUAAGCAGUAUGACUUAUAUCGCCCACAACUCACUUGUGUUCUACUCGUGCAUAGCAUCAACGCAUAAAACCAGGCUCGGAUGCCACUGUUGGGGAACGUAGUAAUUUCAAAAAUAUUCCUACGCACACGCAAGAUCAUGGUGAUGCAUAGGAACGAGAGGGGAGAGUGUUGUCCACGUACCCUCGUAGAUCGACAGCGGAAGCGUUAUCACAACGCGGUUGAUCUAGUCGUACGUCUUCACGAUCCGACCGAUCAAGUACCGAACGCACGGCACCUCCGAAGUUCUACACACGUUCAGCUCGAUGACGUCCCUCGAACUCCGAUCCAGCCAAGUGUUGAGGGAGAGUUUCGUCAGCACGAUGGCGUGGUGACGAUGAUGAUGUUCCACCGACACAGGGCUUCGCCUAAGCUCCGCGACGGUAUUAUCGAGGUGUAAUCUGGUGGAGGGGGGCACCGCACACGGCUAAAAUAUCGUAUAUCAAAGUGUGUAGAGAGGUGCCCCCUGCCCCCGUAUAUAAAGGAGCAAGGGAGGAGGAGGCCGGCCCUAGGAGGGGGCGCACCAAGUGUGGAGUCCUACUAGGACUCCCUAGUCCUAGUAGGAUUCCACCUCCCAUAUGGAAUAGGAAAAGAGGAAGGGAAAAAGAGAAGGAAGGAAGGGGGCGCCCCCCUUCCCUAGUCCAAUUCGGACCAGACCAAGGGGAGGGGUGCGGCCACCAUUGAGGCCCUUUUCCUUCUUUCCCGUAUGGCCCAAUAAGGCCCAAUACGUAUUCCCGUAACUCUCCGGUACUCCGAAAAAUACCCGAAUCAUUCGGAACCUUUCCGAAGUCGGAAUAUAGUCGUCCAAUAUAUUGAUCUUUACAUCUCGACCAUUUCUAGACUCCUCGUCAUGUCCCCGAUCUCAUCCGGGACUCCGAACUCCUUCGGUACAUCAACAUACAUAAACUCAUAAUAAAACUGUCAUCGUAACUUUAAGCGUGCGGACCCUUUGGGUUCGAGAACUAUGUAGACAUGACCGAGACACCUCUCCGGUCAAUAACCAAUAGCGGGACCUAGAUGCCCAUAUUGGCUCCCACAUAUUCUACGAAGAUCUUUAUCGGUCAGACCGCAUAACAACAUACGUUGUUCCCUUUGUCAUCGGUAUGUUACUUGCCCGAGAUUCGAUCGUCGGUAUCUCGAUACCUAGUUCAAUCUCGUUACCGGCAAGUCUCUUUACUCGUUCUGUAAUACAUCAUCCCGCAACUAACUCAUUAGUCACAAUGCUUGCAAGGCUUAUAGUGAUGUGCAUUACCGAGUGGGCCCAGAGAUACCUCUCCGACAAUCGGAGUGACAAAUCCUAAUCUCGAAAUACGCCAACCCAACAAGUACCUUUGGAGACACCUGUAGAGCACCUUUAUAAUCACCCAUUUACGUUGUGACGUUUGGUAGCACACAAAGUGUUCCUCCGGUAAAUGGGAGUUGCAUAAUCUCAUAGUCAUAGGAACAUGUAUAAGUCAUGAAGAAAGCAAUAGCAACAUACUAAACGAUCGGGUGCUAAGCUAACGUAAUGGGUCAUGUCAAUCACGUCAUUCUCCUAAUGAGGUGAUCCCGUUAAUCAAAUGACAACUCAUGUCUAUGGCUAGGAAACAUAACCAUCUUUGAUUAACGAGCUAGUCAAGUAGAGGCAUACUAGUGACACUCUAUUUGUCUAUGUAUUCACACAUGUAUUAUGUUUCCGGUUAAUACAAUUCUAGCAUGAAUAAUAAACAUUUAUCAUGAUAUAAGGAAAUAUAUAAUACUUUAUUAUUGCCUCUAGGGCAUAUUUCCUUCAUUUGCCGCCGCCCUUGUCUUGAAGGAUAAGAAGGUUCCAACGCCCUCCUUAGGGUUUCUCCCUUGUCUUGGGCCUUGUGGGCCCUAGUCAAGCCUGAGGCCGGGCUCCCUUGGGUGAGCCACCCCCGGUGUAUGACACUUUCAAGGAGGUUUUGCAAGCGAUAAAUACUUGCAUGAUCCCAUCUGGUUGGACUGAUACUGCGAUUGUGAUGAUCUCUAAGGUUAAUUUUCCAAAGAAGGUAACCUAAUUUAGGCCGGUCAGCUUGUGUAAUGUGGUAUAUAAAAUAAUUGCGAAGUUGGUUGCCUCUCGCUUUAAAGUUUUCCUACCUGAUAUUAUUAGGCCGACUCGGAGUGCUUUUGUCGUCAGCUCUUUCUUUGCCGUCAGUUUUCUAUAAGCUGAUGGCAAAGACCUUCUUUGCCGUCAGCUAGCACACAUCAAAGAACUGGCUGACGAUAAAAGAUCCUGAUUCCAAUAGUGCUGGUGGAUUGAUACGGAUAAUAUUUUAGUGUCUUACAUGUGCUUCCAUACAAUCAAGAACAAAAGAGAAAGUAAAGAGAGAUUGUGUGCUAUAAAACUAGAUAUUCACAAAGCUUAUGGCCAAGUUGAGUGGCCUUUUCUAAAGGAUAUUAUACCGAGUCUUGGUUUCCGUGAAAAUUGGGUAAAAUUUUAUAUGCAAUGCGUCUCAACAGUUGAAUGCCGAGUUUGGUUUAAUGCGGAGGAAAGUGGAUUUUAGAUGCCUAUAAAGGGUUUAAGGCACGGUGACCCAUUGUCACCUUACCUAUUCUUAUUGUUAACGGAGGGGAUGACUGCUCUUCUCAUACUCGCAGAGGAAAAUGAAAAUAUUUCAGGAGUGAAGUCUGUAGAAAUGUGUUGGGUAACGUAGUAAUUUCAAAAAAUUCCUACGCACACGCAAGAUCAUGGUGAUGCAUAGCAACGAGAGGGGAGAGUGUGUCCACGUACCCUCGUAGACCGAAAGCGGAAGCGUUAGCACAACGCGGUUGAUGUAGUCGUACGUCUUCACGAUCCGACCGAUCCAAGUACCGAACGUACGGCACCUCCGAGUUCAGCACACGUUCAGCUCGAUGACGUCCCUCGAACUCUGAUCCAGCCGAGCUUUGACGGAGAGUUCCGUCAGCACGACGGCGUGGUGACGAUGAUGAUGUUCUACCGACGCAGGGCUUCACCUAAGCACCGCUACGAUAUGAUCGAGGUGGAUUAUGGUGGAGGGGGGCACCGCACACGGCUAAGAGAUCAAUGAUCAAUUAUUGUGUCUCUGGGUGCCCCCCUGCCCCUGUAUAUAAAGGAGCAAGGGAGGAGAGGCGGCCGGCCAGGAGGGGGCGCGCCAGGAGGAGUCCUACUCCCCCUUCCUUGUUGGAUUAGGAGAAGGGGGAAGGAGGAGGGAGAGAGGAAGGAAAAGGGGGCGCCGCCCCCCCUCCUUGUCCAAUUCGGACUAGAGGGGGAGGGGGCGUGCGGCCUGCCCUGGCCGCCCCUCCUCUUCUCCACUAAGGCCCAUGUAGGCCCAUUAAACCCCCGGGGGGGUUCCGGUAACCUCCCGGUACUCCGGUAUAGACCGAUAACCCCCGGAACCAUUCCGGUGUCCGAAUAUAGUCGUCCAAUAUAUCAAUCUUCAUGUCUCGACCAUUUCGAGACUCCUCGUCAUGUCCGUGAUCACAUCCGGGACUUCGAACUAUCUUCCGUACAUCAAAACACAUAAACUCAUAAUAUAACCGUCAACAAACUUUAAGCGUGCGGACCCUACGGGUUCGAGAACUAUGUAGACAUGACCGAGACACGUCUCUUGUCAAUAACCAAUAGCAGAACCUGGAUGCUCAUACUGGCUCCCACAUAUUCUACGAAGAUAUUUAUCGGUCAAACCGCAUAACAACAUACGUUGUUCCCUUUGUCAUCGGUAUGUUACUUGCCCGAGAUUCGUUCAUCGGUAUCUCAAUACCUAGUUCAAUCUCGUUACCGACAAGUCUCUUUACUCGUUCUGUAAUACAUCAUCCCACAACUAACUCAUUAGUUGCAAUGCUUGCAAGGCUUAAGUGAUGUACAUUACCGAGUGGGCCCAGAGAUACCUCUCCGACAAUCGGAGUGACAAAUCCUAAUCUCGAAAUACGCCAACCCAACAAGUACCUUUGGAGACACCUGUAGAGCACCUUUAUAAUCACCCAGUUACGUUGUGACGUUUGGUAGCACACAAACUGUUCCUCCGGUAAACGGGAGUUGCAUAAUCUCAUAGUCAUAGGAACAUGUAUAAGUCAUGAAGAAAGCAAUAGCAACAUACUAAACGAUCGAGUGCUAAGCUAACGGAAUGGGUCAAGUCAAUCACAUCAUUCUCCUAAUGAUGUCAUCCCGUUAAUCAAAUGACAACUCAUGUCAAUGGCUAGGAAACAUAACCAUCUUUGAUCAACAAGCUAGUCAAGUAGAGGCAUACUAGUGACACUCUGUAUGUCUAUGUAUUCACACAAGUAUUAUGUUUCCAGUUAAUACAAUUCUAGCAUGAAUAAUAAACAUUUAUCAUGAUAUAAGGAAAUAAAUAAUAACUUUGUUAUUGCCUCUAGGGCAUAUUUCCUUCAGUCUCCCACUUGCACUAGAGUCAAUAAUCUAGAUUACACAGUAAUGAUUCUAACACCCAUGGAGCCUUGGUGCUGACCAUGUUUUGCUCGUGGAAGAGGCUUAGUCAAUGGGUCUGCAACAUUCAGAUCCGUAUGUAUCUUGCAAAUUUCUAUGUCUCCCACCUGGACUAGAUCCCAGAUGGAGUUGAAGCGUCUCUUGAUGUGCUUGGUUCUCUUGUGAAAUCUGGAUUCCUUUGCCAAGGCAAUUGCACCAGUAUUGUCACAAAAGAUUUUCAUUGGUCCCGAUGCACUAGGUAUGACACCUAGAUCGGAUAUGAACUUCUUCAUCCAGACUCCUUCAUUUGCUGCUUCCGAAGUAGCUAUGUACUCCGCUUCACACGUAGAUCCCGCCACAACGCUUUGUUUAGAACUGCACCAACUGACGGCUCCACCGUUCAAUGUAAACACGUAUCCGGUUUGCGGUUUAGAAUCGUCCGGAUCAGUGUCAAAGCUUGCAUCAAUGUAACCAUUUACGACUAGCUCUUUGUCACCUCCAUAAACGAGAAACAUAUCCUUAGUCCUUUUGAGGUAUUUCAGUAUGUUCAUGACUGCUGUCCAGUGAUCCACUCCUGGAUUACUUUGGUACCUCCCUGCUAUACUUAUAGCAAGGCACACAUCAGGUCUGGUACACAACAUUGCAUACAUGAUAGAGCCUAUGGCUGAAGCAUAGGGAACAUCUUUCAUCUUCUCUCUAUCUUCUGCAGUGGUCGGGCAUCGAGUCUUACUCAACUUCACACCUUGUAACACAGGCAAGAACCCUUUCUUUGCUUGAUCCAUUUUGAACUUCUUCAAAACCUUGUCAAGGUAUGUGCUUUGUGAAAGUCCAAUUAAGCGUCUUGAUCUAUCUCUGUAGAUCUUGAUUCCCAAUAUGUAAGCAGCUUCACCGAGGUCCUUCAUUGAAAAACUCUUAUUCAAGUAUCCCUUUAUGCUAUCCAGAAAUUCUAUAUCAUUUCCAAUCAACAAUAUGUCAUCCACAUAUAAUAUCAGAAAUGCUACAGAGCUCCCACUCACUUUCUUGUAAAUACAGGCUUCUCCAAAAGUCUGUAUAAAACAAAAUGCUUUGAUCACACUAUCAAAGCAUUUAUUCCAACUCCGAGAGGCUUGCACCAGUCCAUCAAUGGAUCGCUGGAGCUUGCACACUUUGUUAGCUCCCUUUGGAUCGACAAAACCUUCCGGUUGCAUCAUAUACAACUCUUCUUCUAGAAAUCCAUUCAGGAAUGCAGCUUUGACAUCCAUUUGCCAAAUUUCAUAAUCAUAAAAUGCGGCAAUUGCUAACAUGAUCCGGACAGACUUAAGCAUCGCUACGGGUGAGAAAGUCUCAUCGUAGUUAAUCCCUUGAACUUUUCGAAAACCUUUUGCAACAAGUCGAGCUUUAUAGACAGUAACAUUACCGUCAGCGUCAGUCUUCUUCUUGAAAAUCCAUUUAUUCUCAAUGGCUUGCCGAUCAUCGGGCAAGUCUACCAAAGUCCACACUUUGUUCUCAUACAUGGAUCCCAUCUCAGAUUUCAUGGCCUCAAGCCAUUUUGCGGAAUCUGGGCUUACCAUCGCUUCUUCAUAGUUCGUAGGUUCGUCAUGGUCUAGUAACAUAACUUCUAGAACAGGAUUACCGUACCACUCUGGUGCGGAUCUUACUCUGGUUGAUCUACGAGGUUCAGUAACAACUUGAUCUGAAGUUUCAUGAUUAUCAUCAUUAACUUCCUCACUAAUUGGUGUAGACAUCACAGGAACCGGUUUCUGUGAUGAACUACUUUCCAAUAAGGGAGCAGGUACUGUUACCUCAUCAAGUUCUACUUUCCUCCCACUCACUUCUUUCGAGAGAAACUCCUUCUCUAGAAAGGAUCCAUUCUUAGCAACGAAUGUCUUGCCUUCGGAUCUGUGAUAGAAGGUGUACCCAACAGUUUCCUUUGGGUAUCCUAUGAAGACAUAUUUCUCCGAUUUGGGUUCGAGCUUAUCAGGUUGAAGCUUUUUCACAUAAGCAUCGCAGCCCCAAACUUUAAGAAACGACAACUUUGGUUUCUUGCCAAACCACAGUUCAUAAGGCGUCGUCUCAAUGAAUUUCGGGUGGCGUGAGUUGCGAAACUAUUCCGCAUUGUUUCAAAUGUAGACCAAACUCGUAACUCAAAUAUUCUCCUCCACGAUCAGAUCGUAGAAACUUUAUUUUCUUGUUAUGAUGAUUUUCCACUUCACUCUGAAAUUCUUUGAACUUUUCAAAUGUUUCAGACUUAUGUUUCAUUAAGUAGAUAUACCCAUAUCUGCUUAAAUCAUCUGUGAAGGUGAGAAAAUAACGAUACCCGCCGCGAGCCUCAACAUUCAUUGGACCACAUACAUCUGUAUGUAUGAUUUUCAACAAAUAUGUUGCUCGCUCCAUAGUUUUGGAGAACGACGUUUUAGUCAUCUUGCCCAUGAGGCACGGUUCGCAAGUACCAAGUGAUUCAUAAUCAAGUGGUUCCAAAAGUCCAUCAGUAUGGAGUUUCUUCAUGCGCUUUACACCAAUAUGACCUAAACGAUAGUGCCACAAAUAAGUUGCACUAUCAUUAUCAACUCUGCAUCUUUUGGCUUCAAUAUUAUGAAUAUGUGUAUCACUACUAUCGAGAUUCAACAAAAAUAGACCACUCUUCAAGGGUGCAUGACCAUAAAAGAUAUUACUCAUAUAAAUAGAACAACCAUUAUUCUCUGAUUUAAAUGAAUAACCGUCUCACAUCAAACAAGAUCAAGAUAUAAUGUUCAUGCUCAACGCUGGCACCAAAUAACAAUUAUUCAGGUCUAAAACUAAUCCCGAAGGUAUAUGUAGAGGUAGCGUGCCGACCGCGAUCACAUCGACUUUGGAACCAUUUCCCACGCGCAUCGUCACCUCGUCCUUAGCCAAUCUUCGCUUAAUCCGUAGUCCCUGUUUCGAGUUGCAAAUAUUAGGAACAGAACCAGCAUCAAAUACCCAGGUGCUACUGCGAGCAUUAGUAAGGUACACAUCAAUAACAUGUAUAUCACAUAUACCUUUGUUCACCUUGUCAUCCUUCUUAUCCGCCAAAUACUUGGGGCAGUUCCCCUUCCAGUGACCAGUCUGCUUGCAGUAGAAGCACUCAGUCUCAGGCUUAGGUCCAGACUUAGGUUUCUUCUCUUGAGCAGCAACUUGUUUGCUGUUCUUCUUGAAGUUCCCCUUCUUCUUCCCUUUGCCCUUUUUCUUGAAACUGGUGGUCUUGUUGACCAUCAACACUUGAUGCUCCUUCUUGAUUUCUACCUCCGUAGCCUUUAGCAUUGUGAAGAGCUCGGGAAUCGUCUUAUCCAUCCCUUGCAUGUUAUAGUUCAUCACGAAGGUCUUGUAGCUUGGUGGCAGUGAUUGAAGAAUUCUGUCAAUGACGCUGUCAUCCGGAAGAUUAACUCCCAGUUGAAUCAAGUGAUUGUUAUAUCCAGACAUUCUGAGUAUAUGCUCACUGACAGAACUAUUCUCAUCUAUCUUACAGCUGUAGAACUUAUUGGAGACUUCAUAUCUCUCAAUCCGGGCAUUUGCUUGAAAUAUUAACUUCAACUCCUGGAACAUCUCAUAUGCUCCAUGACAUUCAAAACGUCGUUGAAGUCCCGGUUCUAAGUCGUAAAGCAUGGCACACUGAACUAUCGAGUAGUCAUCAGCUUUGGUCUGCCAGACGUUCAUAACAUCUGGUGUUGCUCAGUUUUUGUAGUACAUAUAUUGAAAUUCAGAAGUUUAAUCUUUGAAUUAUGAACAUAGGAAAUGUCUGAUGACGACGAUAGGAUCCCAGAGUGCAACUACUGCGGCGACGACCGGGGUCUAUGCGACAGGACUCACCUGCAAGACGGUUGACGCUUCAGUAUUAAGCUCGACGAGACCUUCGGUGUUGAAACGGUACGCAACGAUGACAAGUUUUUUUUCGUAAUUAAGCAUGACUGUUUUGCACCCGUGGAUCCGCCGGACAAAUUGUCGAAGCAGAGGCCGCAGGCCAGGUGGUUGUGGAAGAAUCCGGAGAGGGCCUGCGACGCCGUCUUGAUUAUUUUGGGGUCGGAGCAGAGCUUGAGCCACUGCUUGGACACGCACUUCAAGCGGCAGAGCGACCAGUACAACAGCCGUGCCAGGAUCUCAACGAGGGGGCCCUCAGAGACGAUCGCCGCCCACGGCGGCUGCCUCUGCUUCCUCCUCUUCUACAAACGGAACAAAGAAAGAUUAAUUAGGCUCCCAGCCGAUUCCGUUCCAUGGACCCGAGAAAGAUUGAUUGGAAGAUGAGGUGUGGAGCACUGGAGCAGACUUGAGAAGCUACGGCGGGGAACGGCGGCGCAGGACGGGACUCGUCGCGGCGGCGGAUCGCCGGCGGGUGGCUCUGCUCCUUCCCCGUGCAGUCAUGCUUGCUUGUUUCUCCACCCCCUGGUGGCAUCGUGGAUCAGUGCCUGGAGGCCCUCGUGGGAGCAAGUUCCGGAGCUCGCCGGAACUCUAGCUAGGGUUUGGAAACCGGAAGGGCAAGAGCGGCGGCCGCGGCUUGAUGGCCUUACGAUUCUUCCAGAAUUCCCCCGAGAUAACCGCAUGUAUAUCUGGAAAAGUGAUUUUUUCAAUAAAUAAACUACCUUUUUUAAAAAAAUUGCCAGAUCUAAUAUAAAGAUUAACAGAAAGUGCAAUACUCCUCAAACAUAAUAAAAUUUACAUCGAGGUCCAUGGACCACCAAACAACCAUGGCCGCCGCUAGAAGAAGCCGUUGUCGCCGCUCUGACAUUGUCGAUGACAACCGGGAAGUCUUCGUGCACGUACCACUAAGGACCAGCGUCCCGGAGCCGCAGUCGUCGUCGUUGAAUCCUUGAAUCGAUUUGAAGAAUUUGACACCAAAUAUCGACGCUGCAUAUGCACAGCGAGAAACCCUAACCUCGCCGAGCUCGCAGGAAUCUGCGCCAGAGCUCCAUCAAUUCAUCCUAACGGACAAACUUGAGAAGGAUCGAAGUCCGGAAGACUGACUCGAAGAAGAAACAUGGCCAUUCGUCCAAAUGUCGCCCCUACGAGCUCUAAAACCCUACCUAUCUACUAGCAUGAGCCGAGGCACCAGAAAUAUCCUCCUCGCCACCGGCCGCCAGAGCUGCGGGCGGAGGGGAGGUGAAUUCAUGAGCUCGCCGGCGGAGAUCCAGGGGAAGAAGAUUUUUUUUCUAGUCGCCUUGCGAGAGGGAAAAAAUAAAUAAGCUACCUUAAUUGGAUGUGUAAAGUACCACGUUUCGUCUCUCCAAAAUCUUUUGCCCACCCAUUUUCCUGAAACUAAUUUUCUUUGUCCAUUUGCAACCUUCAACAAAAAAUAAAUCAUAGAUGUAGCGUGCCAAACAAUUUAACGUUAAGUUUUGAAUGACAAACAAUUCAACAAGUUUCAUCACUGAAUGCAACAGACUGAACGAAUCAAAGUUAGCCGACGUUUUCAUGACGCGCAUUGAUGUUGCUAUGCAUCGUGUGAAACCACUUCUUGGCGUCGGCAUCGGAAGACUUGGUUCGGACUAUCAAAUAUAGACAAGCGGGGGAAGAGUGGGGGACACCCUACCACCCAACAAGAGACUGCUGCUGACCUAAAAGAAAAGCGACCGAUAAUAAAAGUAUUUAAAUCUGGGUGUCUAUUUUAUUGUCCAUUUGGGACUCGCGUCUGACUCCCGGCUCGUUCUCGAGCGACCUCGGUGGACCCGCCACCACCUACCUCCCGCUGCCCCAUGCCCUUGUUGUUGUUAGAUGUUAAGCCCUACAUGAUGGAUGAUGGUUGCAUGCUCAUGCUCGACGUGCUCACUCGCCUGUGCUCUUCCUCCCCCUUCACAAAAUGGUUGCUUUGAUAUCCCAUCGAACCGCAACAAUUACCUAGCAAGAUCUGCAUGGGACAUCACUGUCGGAGUUAAAUCCGGCUGAUCUGUAGGUAAGGGAUCCUAAACUAGGCGUCUUGGGAUGAUGGUAACAGAGACACAUGAUUUACCCAGGUUCAGUCUCUCCGAAGAGAUAAAAGUCUAGUUCUGCUUGUGUUAUAUUGCAUUAGAGUGUGUACAAAGUACGUGUAAACUAACAAGAGAUUGUAUGAUGAGAUGUAGAUUGCCCUCUAUCGACUAGCCCGAUCCCAGCUUAUAUGAGAUACCGAAUGCCUAGGAUUACAAGAGUCCUCGGUUGCGUCAGUGGAGAGGAGUCCUCCAUGGAUACGGAGUCCUUGUCUUGAACGUCAGGGCUUCCAUUAUCUUCUUCGUAGAGCGUCAUGAGCCGACCAAAGUGGCCCAAAACGGAACCAACCUAGAGGUCCUCAGCCCGGCCCACAAAGCCGGAAACCGACAUGGCGAGAGACCCCUGGGUCGGGACACCGUCAGCAUGGAGAGGAACGGUCUAGCUCGCAGAGGGGAUUAGGAUCCCCAUGGUGUAGAUGAAUGAGGAUGGCGGCCUGCUUUCACCCGUGACGAGCGAGAGAGAGAAUGAGAGGUCGCCCCGGCAGACUGGCGGGGCUUUGUAGAGGCGUCGAGCCAACGGGCCAGCCCCGGUAGCCAACUCCACGAGGCCAAAAAAAACAGCAGAAAUGAUGCGCCCUGGGUUCAAACUCGCAACGCUGGCUCGUCAGUGCGUAAACCAAGCCGAUGGAGCUAAACACCUUUUAUGAAUAGUAAGCAGCGCAAACUUUUAAGUAGUUAGACUCACAUAAAAUUCCUAAAAAAGAUGGGCUCCGUCAGCAUGGAGAGGAACGGUCUAGCUCGCAGAGGGGAUUAGGAUCCCCAUGGUGUAGAUGAAUGAGGAUGGCGGCCUGCUUUCACCCGUGGCGAGCGGGAGAGAGAAUGAGAGGUCGCCCCGGCAGACUGGCGGGGCUUUGUAGAGGCGCCGAGCCAACGGGCCUGCCCCGGUAGCCAACUCCGCGAGGCCAAAAAAAACCCAGCAGAAAUGAUGCGCCCUGGGUUCAAACUCGUGACGCUGACUCGUCAGUGCGUAAACCAAGCCGCUGGAGCUAAACACCUUUUAUGAAUAGUAAGCAGCGCAAACUUUUAAGUAGUUAGACUCACAUAAAUUUCCUAAAAAAGAUGGGCUCACAAGGAUUCAAACACGGCACCUCUUGGAAGUAAGCAGUGGUACAUAACCACUGGAAUACAUAAUUUUGAUGUUUCAAAGUUGCAACGCGGCUUAUAAUAACUGUGAAAGGCGACAAAUCAAUUUUUUUGAGAAUUUCGAAUGUGUUUUUAUUUAGGAAAGCAAAUAAUUAUUGAAACAAAAACACUUCAAAAUUGUGAAAAAAUUUACAACUUGGAAAAUUGUUUGAAACGCGAACAUUUUAUGGAAAAGUGCAACGUCUUUCAAUCUUGAACAAGUUUUAGAAAAAGGGAGGAAUUUUCAAACAAUUUUGGAAACUCUGAAAAAAAAUUAAAAGCAAACAAUUUUUGCACAUGUGAACAGUUUUAGAAACUGUGAACAAAAUUAGAGAAAGGCAAACGAAUUCAAUAUCAUGAACAGUUUUUUGAACUUGUGAACAAAAUUUGAAAAACCAGGAACAUUUGUGAACUUUUGAACAAUUUUAGAAACCCUGAACAAAAUUUAGAACGAUAUUUUUGAAACUUAAGGAUUUUUUUAAUUGCUAAAAAAAUUCAUUUAUGAGCAAAAUUGUAAAGACAAAAAAAAAUUGAACUUAGAAAAAUUGAAACCCAGAACUAAAUUAGGGAAAAGCAAACAUUUUUUCAAAUAUGUGUACAAUUUUAUUAAAAUAAAGAACAUGUUUUUUUUGUUGUUGAACAAAAAUUAAAAGGAACAUUUUUUAAACUUCUGAACGUUUUUUGAAAAGCGUGAACAUUUUUUAAAUUUAAGUACAAUUUGAAAACGAGAACAUGUUGUGGAGUUUUGAAAAAUUAUGAGCAACACAAAUACUUCUUUUUUGGAAAAAAAAAAGAGAAAACUUGACAAAAUGAAAAUGAAAAUGGAAGGAAAAAAAAGGGGAAAAGUGGGAAAAUGAAAAAGAAAACAGGUCGGGGAAUCUCCUUGAAGGUUCCAUAAGCGGAAAACCCCGGCUGCGAACCACCUAGAAACUUACCAAAACCAGGAGCGCUGAAACCUAUAACGGGCCGGCCCAUCCCGAAUGCUCGUUGAUCUUCCCUUUGCGUCGCUCCGCAACUUGCCGCAGCGAGCGGCAAAUAGGAAAACACCCCACAACGACGGAUCGACUGGACUCAUUCGCGCAACGGACUGUAGUUAGCAAAUUGGUAACUGGGCUGAGAGAAAAGGCCCAAAUAACUAGAGGGCUCAGUUUUUUCUUCUGGAGUAGCUGCCACAGUUGGCCCAUAAAAAAACUGCGUUAAAGAACAAAACUGACAGCACAUCUAGCGGCCAGAUCACGUGAACGGACGGUCAUGAGGGACUGGGUUUAGGUUCGGUUUUACUGUCCUAAAUUCCUAUAUAUUGUUGCACGCCCUGACACACCAUGAUGUUUAAAUUUUUUAGAAUGCAACAAAUUUGCCCACAAUGUAAGAACUUGGUAUUUCGAAUGUCAUGGAGUUCUUGAUUCACUUUUAAUUACUGUUUUAAAACCUAAAAUUAGAACUAAACAUUUCAAACAAAUGCCAAGAAAAAGGAACAAAGAAAUAUUGUUCUAAUGGCUUGCAAUGGGUGCGUUCCUGGGAAGGAUAAAAAAGAGCAAUGCCCCUGGCCAAUUUUCUCUGCUCCUCUUCUCUCCCAUCUCCUCUCCAUCUCAGUUCAACAAUCAAUAUGAAGCCAUGAACAACAACACUCAAACAAGAUGAAACCGCAGCAACAGUAAGAAGCAAUCAACCACAAAACUACAUACAUUUACUCUGCUAAUGUUCAGCGUGAAUUUGGAAGAACAAAGAAAAGACCGUCUGUCUGUGGAAUCAAGCACACCGAAUGAAUCGUGCUACGCUAGGAAAAACGAGAGCAAAACAAACCGAAAAACGACUAAGCAGCUCCAAAUCGCAGCUCUAUACACACCACGUACGUCACCGGCGGCUCGACUCAGCUCAGGCUUCAC
rnacentral:lncRNA from 1 species